ACACGACUACAUUAGAUACCCCUGUAGUCCCAGCCGUAAACGAUGCGCGUUAGGUGUAUCGGUGACCACGAGUCACCGAGGUGCCGAAGGGAAACCGUGAAACGUGCCGCCUGGGAAGUACGGUCGCAAGGCUGAAACUUAAAGGAAUUGGCGGGGGAGCACCACAAGGGGUGAAGCUUGCGGUUUAAUUGGAGUCAACGCCGGAAAUCUCACCGGGAGCGACAGCAGUGUGAUAGCCAGAUUAAAGGUCUUGCUAGACGAGCUG
rnacentral:rRNA from 1 species